GGAAGGUGUAUUGAAAAUGCUAGUUGGACCAAAGCUACUAGUAUUCUGUCCAAAGGUAGAGCUUGCCUGCCCAAUUGCAGGGGUAGAAGUGAACAGAGAAGACCCCUGACUGCUGCCAAAAUUUAAACCAGUGGCAAAUGUGGGUGUUGUUGCUGGAGCUGCACCAGUACCAAAUAUGGAUGGCGAAGAUGAAAAUGAAGGAGUUACAGAUGAACUAAAAAGAGAUGAACCAGUUCCAAAUGCAGGAGCUGAAGAACUAAAUAUUGAAGGUGUUGUUGAUGAAGAUGGGCCAAAAAGGCUUGAUGAUGUUGAUUGAAAAGGAUUUGAUGUAGUAGUUGAGGUUGUAAAACUUGCACUAUUAAAGGAUGGGGGUUUUAUACUAAAUGGAUUAGCACUCGUGCCGGAAAAUGGAUU
rnacentral:lncRNA from 1 species